AGAAUGACUCUCGGCAACGGAUAUCUAGGCUCUUGCAUCGAUGAAGAACGUAGCGAAAUGCGAUACUUGGUGUGAAUUGCAGAAUCCCGUGAACCAUCGAGUCUUUGAACGCAAGUUGCGCCCGAUGCCAUUAGGUUGAGGGCACGUCCGCCUGGGUGUCACAU
rnacentral:rRNA from 1 species